rnacentral:tRNA from 1 species
GCACUGGUUCAGCGGUAGAAUUCUUGCCUUCCAUGCAGCAGACCCAGGUUCGAUUCCUGGCGGAUGCA